UAGCACACAACCUAAGCAAAGGUGGCCAC
rnacentral:piRNA from 1 species